rnacentral:lncRNA from 1 species
GGGGCGGAAGUAAGAACGGAUCUAACGUAAAUACAUUGGUAUUAAAGAAAGAGAAGUUUCGGUAAAAACCUCCGGUAUGAAGCUCAUCAUGGUUGACGGGAUCACCGGCGGAGCUACGGGUGCUGAAGCCGUUGGUGGGACCUCCGUCGAGGCUCCCGCUCCCGCCGAUGGAGCUCCCGCUCCUGCCGAUGGAGCCGCCGCCAUUGCCGCUGGAGCCGC